GCGGGUGUCGUAUAAAGGCUAUUAUGCCUCCCUUCCAAGGAGGUGAUGGCAGUUCAAUUCUGCUCACCCGCU
rnacentral:tRNA from 2 species